rnacentral:rRNA from 1 species
UAACGCGUGAGGAACCUGCCUCAAAGGGGGGGACAACAGUUGGAAACGACUGCUAAUACCGCAUAAGCCCACGGCUCGGCAUCGAGCAGGGGGAAAAGGAGCAAUCCGCUUUGAGAUGGCCUCGCGUCCGAUUAGCUAGUUGGUGAGGUAACGGCCCACCAAGGCGACGAUCGGUAGCCGGACUGAGAGGUUGAACGGCCACAUUGGGACUGAGACACGGCCCAGACUCCUACGGGAGGCAGCAGUGGGGAAUAUUGCACAAUGGGGGAAACCCUGAUGCAGCGACGCCGCGUGGAGGAAGAAGGUCUUCGGAUUGUAAACUCCUGUUGUUGAGGAAGAUAAUGACGGUACUCAACAAGGAAGUGACGGCUAACUACGUGCCAGCAGCCGCGGUAAAACGUAGGUCACAAGCGUUGUCCGGAAUUACUGGGUGUAAAGGGAGCGCAGGCGGGAGAACAAGUUGGAAGUGAAAUCCAUGGGCUCAACCCAUGAACUGCUUUCAAAACUGUUUUUCUUGAGUAGUGCAGAGGUAGGCGGAAUUCCCGGUGUAGCGGUGGAAUGCGUAGAUAUCGGGAGGAACACCAGUGGCGAAGGCGGCCUACUGGGCACCAACUGACGCUGAGGCUCGAAAGUGUGGGUAGCAAACAGGAUUAGAUACCCUGGUAGUCCACACCGUAAACGAUGAUUACUAGGUGU